CCUAAAGCCUUGCUAUAAGAGGCUUAUUUUCCUCAUGUCUAGGGGAGAGAUUGAGGACACCAAAAAGAAAAUGGCUGAGAUAUUGAAGCUACAGAAUCCCCUCAAAAGUUUAAUUCUUAUGAUAAAUACACUGAAUUCAUAGAAAGGAAGGCAUCAGUUCUUAUUUUUAGAUACCUGGGUUAAAAGCUGAAGUUCAUUUUGAAUCACACUGGUUGCUUCUGUUUUGGCUGCAGCACCGUCUCAUUUUCAGAAAUUUAUUUCUAUUUUUGGUUGAUUUUGCUGUAACAGUUUUCUUAUACAAGUGCGGAACUACUUAUCAGAGUUUGAGCAUGAUCACCCCAGGACCAUCUGGUCAGGACCGUUGCAUUCAGGAGUUGCUUAAGGAGAUUUUUUAUGUUUUGAGUCUGUUUUUUUUAUGAUGUCUUGUACUUUAUAGUCAUGUUCAGUAGUAAUGAUUUUUUUAGUUGGUGUCGGAGUUUGUUGUAGUAUAGUUAAGUUGAGUCUCUCAUUAUCAUAUUUGCUAUUUUGUAUUUGAAAAUGAAAAAAAAAAGUUAUUGUAAUGAAUAAUCCAAAAAGAUUUUUAUUUUUUAGUUUAA